CCCUUAGAUGUUCUGGGCCGCACGCGCGCUACACUGACGAAUGCAACGAGCUUAUAACCUUGGCCGAAAGGUCUGGGUAAUCUCCAAAUUUCGUCGUGAUGGGGAUAGAUUAUUGCAAUUAUUAAUCUUCAACGAGGAAUGCCUAGUAAGCGCAAGUCAUCAGCUUGCGUUGAUUACGUCCCUGCCCUUUGUACACACCGCCCGUCGCUCCUACCGAUUGAAUGGUCCGGUGAAGCGCUCGGACCGCGGCCUCUUGACGGUUUUCCGUAGAUUGGCUGUGGGAAGUUCGUUAAACCUUAUCAUUUAGAGGAAGGAGAAGUCGUAACA
rnacentral:rRNA from 1 species